rnacentral:rRNA from 1 species
AACGAACGCUGGCGGCAUGCCUAACACAUGCAAGUCGAACGAGACCUUCGGGUCUAGUGGCGCACGGGUGCGUAACGCGUGGGAAUCUGCCCUUGGGUUCGGAAUAACAGAGAGAAAUUUCUGCUAAUACCGGAUGAUGUCUUCGGACCAAAGAUUUAUCGCCCAGGGAUGAGCCCGCGUAGGAUUAGGUAGUUGGUGGGGUAAUGGCCCACCAAGCCGACGAUCCUUAGCUGGUCUGAGAGGAUGAUCAGCCACACUGGGACUGAGACACGGCCCAGACUCCUACGGGAGGCAGCAGUGGGGAAUAUUGGACAAUGGGCGCAAGCCUGAUCCAGCAAUGCCGCGUGAGUGAUGAAGGCCUUAGGGUUGUAAAGCUCUUUUACCAGGGAUGAUAAUGACAGUACCUGGAGAAUAAGCUCCGGCUAACUCCGUGCCAGCCGCCGCCGUAAUAC